GAUGAACGCUAGCUACAGGCUUAACACAUGCAAGUCGAGGGGUAACGAGAGGAAAGCUUGCUUUCCUUGUCGACGACCGGCGCACGGGUGAGUAACGCGUACCCAACCUGCCCCCAACUAGGGAAUAACCUUGCGAAAGUAAGACUAAUACCCUAUAAUUUCCUCAGAUGUUAUCUGACGAGGAAUAAAGAUUUAUCGGUUGUGGAUGGGGAUGCGUCGGAUUAGCUUGUUGGCGGGGUAACGGCCCACCAAGGCAACGAUCAGUAGGGGUUCUGGGAGGAAGGUCCCCCACAGUGGAACUGAGACACGGUCCAAACGCCUACGGGAGGCAGCAGUGAGGAAUAUUGGUCAAUGGGCGGAAGCCUGAACCAGCCAAGUAGCGUGCAGGAUGACGGCCCUAUGGGUUGUAAACUGCUUUUGUACAGGAAUAAAGUUAGCCACGUGUGGUUAUUUGUAGGUACUGUAUGAAUAAGGACCGGCUAAUUCCGUGCCAGCCGCCGCCGUAA
rnacentral:rRNA from 1 species